GGUAUACUAUGUAGACUUGAUAUUCAGGUAUACCAUGUAGACUUGAUAUUCAGGUAUACCAUGUAGACUUGAUAUUCAGGUAUUCAGAUAUACCAUGUAGACUUGAUAUUCAGGUAUUCAGAUAUACCAUGUAGACUUGAUAUUCAGGUCUACCAUGUAGACUUGAUAUUCAAG